rnacentral:lncRNA from 1 species
GGGAGUCAGUAAGCAUCACACUUCUUACUUGGCCUCUCCUUCUACCUCCUACUUCCUGCCUUGACUCUUUGGCCGACCUUCCCUGAUGUGAUGUUGUCCCCUAAAAUGACAUAUAUUUGCUCCAUGGGUUGCCUUUCAUCAUGAUGUUUUAUCAUAUCAGUAGAAAUCCCAAGACAGAAAUUGGCUAUGAAGAGACAAGUCUCAUUGAGGCAAAACCUGAGAAAUGUUUACCCAGGGUGAGCAUACAAAAGCUGAGGCACAGAGAGCUCCAAAGCUGUACCUUGUGCUGACAUCCUAACUGAGUAGUGUAUAAGUUUCCCACAUUAUACUUGCUUCAAAGACAUGAAAGGGUAAUAGGGGGCACAUGAGGCUGCAUACUUGAGAGGUCAAGAGAGAACACUGAAGAUGUAGCCUCAGUUGCAGAAAAAGCCCCAUCAUUGGUGGUGCCAUGGUGAAGAGCUAAAGCUCAGAACUGUUGUGGUUGGGAUCCAAACCCUGAAGGAAGUUAUCUGAAUGUGCAGAGAGCCCUAGUCAAGGUACAACCCAGUUGCAACAAAGGACACAGAAUCUUAAAGAUUCCAGUACCAUAUGAUGCCUGGUAAAGACAACAGCAGCAGUAGAGAGAAGCCUCUCAUAGCCUAAGAGGCAAACUGUGUGUGCUGCCAAAUGCCAACUGCAGAUCUGAAGGAAUGGACCAGUUUGGAGACGUUCAGAUACCACAGAGUAAACACCAGGAUCCCACACUGACUGUAUUUUAUAGGAAUAGAGUUUGUUUGUGCUUGGAUCUGAUUGUCAUUUUUUUUGUUCUUCCCUAUCUCUGUUUAUGUAGAGAACAAGGAAUAACAACUGUUAUCUCAUUCCAUCACUUUUUGCAUAGUUAAUGGAACAGAUUCUUUCAUGGAACAUCAAACUUAUCAUUUUAGCUAUCCUUGUUGGUCAGUGAGCAUCGAGGAUCCACCCUAACCUUUUCCAAUAUUCCCAAUGCUGAGGUUAAAACAAUUAAUUUUAAAAAGCUCUGGGCAUCUGUAAAUAGUAACUCAUGUUUGCACACGAGGCAGUUUUAACACUGACACUUCUCCCUAGAUUUCUCAAAUAUUUUGUUCACUUUAAGUCUUUGACUGCUUUUGAAUCCCAAAUCAUGAGUUCUUGUUAUUAAAGUUUUGUCCCUUAUCUUUUUGUCCCCUUAUAUAUAUAAUGUUUUCUGUUGCUGGGAUAAAAAUACUAAGACCACGGUAAAAAAGGAAGAAAGGGUGUGUUGUGGGUUACAGAGCUUACUUCUAUUACCACAAGCAUGAAGUACAGAGAAAUUUCUGAAAGUUUUUC